UCAACUCUUAUACCUCCAGGGUCCAAUGUAUGCUGGACAAGGCCCUUCACUGACCACAUCCUGCAGGCUAACUCCUGUGCUGGGCCCUUGGGCUACUGAGAGUGGGAGACAAAGCCCUGUCAUUGAUAGUGGCUCACAGUGAGUCAGGAGGGGAACGUACACAGGCAGGGAGUUCAGAGCAGGAACCAUCACAGGGAAUCAUGGGAGUGUGGGACAGGGGCCCAGACACAGCCUAGAGGGGUCCAGAAGGCUUCCUGGAGGAGGAGGGAACUCUCAAGAGCACAUUUUUCAAGACCAGGCAGAGGGAGGAGGCUGCGUAGGGUGGAAAUGGUGCUCUAGGCAGGCCACAGCUGGAGUAAAGCCAUGAAGAUCAGAACCAGCUGAGUUAUUCAGAGAACCACCGUGGUUUGGGUAUUGCCGGAGAGCCCAGCACAAAGAAGAGUGGAGGGAGGCUGGCUGCGGAGGCAGGUGGGGACCAGACCAUGGCCGCUUGGGAGUUUGGACCAGACACUGCUGUACAAGCCAGCCCACAGGGAGGACUGGGCAGACCUAGGCAACAAGCUGCUCUCCUCCUCUCUGGGUGACCCCAGACAGGACUCCUCACUUGUGAGAUUUUACCAGGCAACCAAAAUUGGAUGCUUAGAGCAGGAAGAAGAGUCUACAGAGGGACUCACGGGCAUUUUGGCUUUGAAUGGCCGAAGCCUAGCUCCCCAGGCUCAGGCACAAUGGUGAAUGUAUUUGCUCAUGCAACUGGGGAAUCAAGGGACACUCAUGUUCAGGAAUGGUUGGAUCCAGAGGCUCAAGCCUUCCUUUCAGGCUUCUUUCUCUCCAGCUCUCUGCUCUCUGAUGAGUCUCUCUCCACAGGGCCCCAGCCACCGAAGGCUCAAAAAAAAAAAAAAAAACAAAACAAAACCCUGCAUGGGGAGUUGUGAGAAUCUGAAGCCUGAUACUGCACAGAAAACCUAUGAAGCCACUGGGUCUGGCCUGGAAUGGAAGGCUGAGUGAAUGUGGGAAAAAAUUUUCAAGUGGGAAAAAUGAAACCAAUAAGAUUUUUAAAAAUACAGUCGGUUAUGUAUGUGUGGGUUCUGAGGAUCGAAAAUAUCUGAAAAACAAGAUGACUGCAUCUGUACUAAACACGUGUGGACUUUUUUGUCAUUAUUCCCUAAAUGAUACAGUAUAACAACUAUUUACAUAGCAUUCACAUUGUUUUAGGUAUUAUAAGUAAUCUAGAGAUGAUUUAAAGUAUACAGGAGGAUGUGCAUAGGUUAUAUGCAAAUACUAUAUCAUCUCAUAUCAGGGACUUGAGUAUCCAUGGAUUUUGUACCCACAGGGAGUCCUGGAGCCAAUCCCCUGGGGAUACUGGGGGACGACUGUAUGUUUAGGCAUCUGUUCAAUAUUGUAGGUGGGAUGUUGCAGAUCUAUUUGUACUUUUGAAUCAAAACAAAAAGCAGGUUUUUUUGUUGUUUUUUUUUUAGCGUGCUUAUUGACUCACAAACUAGCAGUGUUCAGGUAAGGCCUCAUCCAGCAGCUCAAACAAUGUGGUUCAGGACCCACUGUCCCUCCAUCUCUCUUCAUGGCUUCCCACAGACUCAGCUUUUUCAGGCUCCACACGGAGACUUUCCAGCCACUAAGAGUUCUGCCCUGC
rnacentral:lncRNA from 10 species